UACGUAGGGGGCAAGCGUUGUCCGGAAUCAUUGGGCGUAAAGCGCGCGUAGGCGGCCCGGUAAGUCCGUUGUGAAAGUCAAAGGCUCAACCUUUGAACGCCGAUGGAUACUGCCGGGCUAGAGUCCGGAAGAGGCGAGUGGAAUUCCUGGUGUAGCGGUGAAAUGCGCAGAUAUCAGGAGGAACACCAAUGGCGAAGGCAGCUCGCUGGGACGGUACUGACGCUGAGACGCGAAAGCGUGGGGAGCAAACAGG
rnacentral:rRNA from 1 species